rnacentral:rRNA from 1 species
UACGGAGGGUGCAACCGUUGCUCGGAAUUAUUGGGCGUAAAGCGCACGUAGGCGGGUCAUCAAGUCGGAUGUGAAAUCCCUCGGCUUAACCGAGGACGUGCAUUCGAUACUGACGACCUUGAGUACGAAAGAGGAUCGCGGAAUUCCCGGUGUAGAGGUGAAAUUCGUAGAUAUCGGGAGGAACACCAGUGGCGAAGGCGGCGAUCUGGGUCGAUACUGACGCUGAGGUGCGAAAGCGUGGGGAGCAAACAGG